rnacentral:rRNA from 1 species
GACGAACGCUGGCGGCGUGCUUAACACAUGCAAGUCGAACGGUGAAGCGCCUUCCUUUUUGGUGGGUGUGGAUGAGUGGCGAACGGGUGAGUAACACGUGAGUAACCUGCCCCCUUCUUCUGGAUAACCGCAUGAAAGUGUGGCUAAUACGGGAUAUUCUGGGUCUGUCGCAUGAUGGGUCUGGGAAGGAUAUUGUUUCGGUGGGGGAUGGGCUCGCGGCCUAUCAGCUUGUUGGUGGGGUGAUGGCCUACCAAGGCGGUGACGGGUAGCCGGCCUGAGAGGGUGGACGGUCACACUGGGACUGAGACACGGCCCAGACUCCUACGGGAGGCAGCAGUGGGGAAUAUUGCACAAUGGGCGCAAGCCUGAUGCAGCGACGCCGCGUGAGGGAUGGAGGCCUUCGGGUUGUGAACCUCUUUCGCCAGUGAAGCAGGCCUGCCUCGUUUGUGGGUGGGUUGACGGCAGCUGGAUAAGAAGCGCCGGCUAACUACGUG